rnacentral:rRNA from 1 species
CAAGUCGAACGGGAGUCACGCCUCCGGGUGGUGAUGAGAGUGGCGCACGGGUGCGUAACACGUAGCUGAUCUGGCCUUCGCAGGGGGAUAACCUGGCGAAAGUCGGGCUAAUACCGCGUACGCUUGAGGGGGUUAGAGGCCCCUUAAGGAAAGAGUUGGUAUCGGCGAAGGAGGAGGCUGCGGCCCAUCAGCUAGUUGGUAGGGUAACGGCCUACCAAGGCAACGACGGGUAGGGGGCCUGAGAGGGUGACCCCCCACACUGGCACUGAGACACGGGCCAGACUCCUACGGGAGGCAGCAGUAAGGGAUAUUGCCCAAUGGGCGCCAGCCUGAGGCAGCAACGCCGCGUGGAGGACGACGGUCUUCGGAUUGUAAACUCCUUUUCUGUGGGAAGAGCGAGGACGGUACCACAGGAAGAAGUCUCGGCUAACUACGUGCCAGCAGCCGCGGUAAAACGUAGGAGGCGAGCGUUAUCCGGAAUUACUGGGCGUAAAGCGCAUGUAGGUGGUGGUGCAAGUGAUGCGUGAAAGCUCCCGGCUCAACUGGGAGAGGACGUAUCAAACUGCAUGGCUAGAGGCAGACAGAGGCAUACGGAAUUCCGGGUGGAGUGGUGAAAUGCGUAGAGAUCCGGAGGAACACCAGUGGCGAAGGCGGUAUGCUGGGUCUGACCUGACACUGAGGUGCGAAAGCGUGGGUAGCGAACGGGAUUAGAAACCCCGGUAGUCCACGCCGUAAACGAUGCAAACUAGAUGUUAGUGGCCGAAAGGUCAUGAGUAUCGAAGCUAACGCGCUAAGUUUGCCGCCUGGGGAGUACGGUCGCAAGGCUAAAACUCAAAGGAAUUGACGGGGGCCCGCACAAGCAGCGGAGCGUGUGGUUUAAUUCGAGGCUACGCGAAGAACCUUACCUGGGUUUGACAUGGUGGUAGUAGAGAAGCGAAAGCGGAUCGACCUUCGGGAGCCACCACAGGUGCUGCAUGGCUGUCGUCAGCUCGUGCCGUGAGGUGUUCGGUUAAGUCCGAAAACGAGCGCAACCCCUGGCGUUAGUUACAAGUGUCUAACGCGACUGCCCGGGGAAACUGGGAGGAAGGUGGGGACGACGUCAAGUCAGCAUGGCCUUGAUAUCCAGGGCGACACACACGCUACAAUGGCCGGUACAAUAGGCAGCCAAACCGCGAGGUGGAGCGAAUCCGAUAAAGCCGGUCACAGUUCGGAUUGCAGGCUGCAACCCGCCUGCAUGAAGUCGGAGUUGCUAGUUAACGCGGAUCUAGCUACGCCGCGUUGAAUACGUUCCCGGGCCUUGUAGACACCGCCCGUCACGUCAUGGAAGCUGGUGACGCCUGAAGUCGGUGAGC